CGGACGGGUGAGUAACACGUGGAUAACCUACCUAUAAGACUGGGAUAACUUCGGGAAACCGGAGCUAAUACCGGAUAAUAUAUUGAACCGCAUGGUUCAAUAGUGAAAGACGGUUUUGCUGUCACUUAUAGAUGGAUCCGCGUCGCAUUAGCUAGUUGGUAAGGUAACGGCUUACCAAUGCAACGAUGCGUAGCCGACCUGAGAGGGUGAUCGGCCACACUGGAACUGAGACACGGUCCAG
rnacentral:rRNA from 1 species